GUAGGUGGCAAGCGUUGUCCGGAAUUAUUGGGCGUAAAGCGCGCGCAGGCGGUUCUUUAAGUCUGAUGUGAAAGCCCACGGCUCAACCGUGGAGGGUCAUUGGAAACUGGAGAACUUGAGUACAGAAGAGGAAAGCGGAAUUCCACGUGUAGCGGUGAAAUGCGUAGAGAUGUGGAGGAACACCAGUGGCGAAGGCGGCUUUCUGGUCUGUAACUGACGCUGAGGCGCGAAAGCGUGGGGAGCAAACAGGAUUAGAUACCCUGGUAGUCCACGCCGUAAACGAUGAGUGCUAAUGUUAGGGGGUUUCCGCCCCCCUUAGUGCUGCAGCUAACGCAUUAAGCACUCCGCCCUGGGAGUACGGCCGCAAGGCUG
rnacentral:rRNA from 1 species